rnacentral:rRNA from 1 species
GACGAACGCUGGCGGCGUGCUUAACACAUGCAAGUCGAACGGAAAGGCCUCUUUCGGGGGGUACUCGAGUGGCGAACGGGUGAGUAACACGUGAGUAACCUGCCCUUGACUUUGGGAUAACUUCAGGCAACUGGGGCUAAUACCGGAUAGGAGCUCCUGCUGCAUGGUGGGGGUUGGAAAGUUUCGGCGGUUGGGGGUGGACUCGCGGCUUAUCCGCUUGUUGGUGGGGUAGUGGCUUACCAAGGCUUUGACGGGUAGCCGGCCUGAGAGGGUGACCGGCCACAUUGGGACUUAGAUACGGCCCAGACUCCGACGGGAGGCAGCAGGGGGGAAUAUUGCACAAUGGGUGGAAGCCUGAUGCAGCAACGCCGUGUGCGGGAUGACGGCCUUCGGGUUGUAAACCGCUUUCGCUCAUGACGAAGCUUUGUGUGACGGUAGUGGGUAAAGAAGCACCGGCUAACUACGUG